GAACGCUGGCGGCAUGCCUUACACAUGCAAGUCGAACGGUAACAGGUCUUCGGAUGCUGACGAGUGGCGAACGGGUGAGUAAUACAUCGGAACGUGCCCGAUCGUGGGGGAUAACGAGGCGAAAGCUUUGCUAAUACCGCAUACGAUCUACGGAUGAAAGCGGGGGAUCUUCGGACCUCGCGCGGACGGAGCGGCCGAUGGCAGAUUAGGUAGUUGGUGGGAUAAAAGCUUACCAAGCCGACGAUCUGUAGCUGGUCUGAGAGGAUGAUCAGCCACACUGGGACUGAGACACGGCCCAGACUCCUACGGGAGGCAGCAGUGGGGAAUUUUGGACAAUGGGCGAAAGCCUGAUCCAGCCAUGCCGCGUGCAGGAUGAAGGCCUUCGGGUUGUAAACUGCUUUUGUACGGAACGAAAAGCCUCUUUCUAAUAAAGAGGGGUCAUGACGGUACCGUAAGAAUAAGCACCGGCUAACUACGUG
rnacentral:rRNA from 1 species